GAUGAACGCUGGCGGCGUGCUUAACACAUGCAAGUCGAACGGAGCACUUUAACUUGAUUUCUUCGGAUUGAUUGUUAUUGUGACUGAGUGGCGGACGGGUGAGUAACGCGUGGGUAACCUGCCUCAUACAGGGGGAUAACAGUUGGAAACGACUGCUAAUACCGCAUAAGCGCACGGUAUCGCAUGAUACAGUGUGAAAAACUCCGGUGGUAUGAGAUGGACCCGCGUCUGAUUAGCUAGUUGGCGGAGUAACGGCCCACCAAGGCAACGAUCAGUAGCCGACCUGAGAGUGUGACCGGCCACAUUGGGACUGAGACACGGCCCAAACUCCUACGGGAGGCAGCAGUGGGGAAUAUUGCACAAUGGGCGAAAGCCUGAUGCAGCGACGCCGCGUGAACGAUGAAGUAUUUCGGUGUGUAAAGUUCUAUCAGCAGGGAAGAAGAAUGACGGUACCUGACUAAGAAGCACCGGCUAAAUACGUGCAGCAGCCGCCGUAA
rnacentral:rRNA from 1 species